rnacentral:rRNA from 1 species
UACGUAGGUGGCGAGCGUUGUCCGGAUUUACUGGGCGUAAAGAGCGCGCAGGCGGUCGUACAAGUCGCGUGUGAAAGCCCCUGGCUCAACUGGGGAGGGUCACGCGAUACUGUUCGACUUGAAGGCAGGAGAGGGAAGUGGAAUUCCCGGUGUAGUGGUGAAAUGCGUAGACAUCGGGAGGAACACCAGUGGCGAAGGCGACUUCCUGGCCUGUUCUUGACGCUGAGGCGCGAAAGCUAGGGUAGCAAACGGG